rnacentral:lncRNA from 1 species
GUUGACGCCGUUCCCAUGAGACCUGCUGCUGUUUUGGAAACGUUGAUUUAAAGCAGAGCCGUGGCGAUGACAGUGAUGAAUUGAUACGGUCCCGUCGGGCCAGCACUGAUACGUGGCCACAGACGUACCCUGCCUCCCCGCACCACCGCGGGAUCCUCAGGGCUCAAGUGGCCGGCACAGCUGCUGCUUGGGGGAGACCGAAGCUGCGUCAGUAGCAGCUGCCUCCCUGGCACAUACCACAGGGAGAAGCUGCAGCACCAAACCCGUUAGCUGCAUGGACGUGCCAGCUAGGGGCUCCGGAAGUGCAAAGUGAUACGGGGCAGGAAUGGUGCAGGCAGACAGCCUGCAGCUGCGCCCACCCCCACAGGUCUGUGGAGUCCCAGGUCAUCGUGGGCACCACAUUCCAUCCUCCUGGCCAGCCGUCCUUCCUGAGACACCAGGAAGAGUUAGGGCCCUGCGUCAUGCUUCCUUCACUUGUGUGGGCAGACGCUGUGGCAGCAGCUGCCCCUGUGACUGAUUCUUAGUCAGAGAGACUCAGGCAGGGAGAAAAGAAUUUUGCUGAUCAGAUGCUCAACAUCUUCAAAAGAACUGCACCACACCCGACAACCAGCAUUUCUCUGAGAUCUAGCUGCUAUCCAUUCAGACAAAUACAACAACUGGGUCAUUGACAAUAAUGACAUCUGGUGACCCCCCGCCCCUCCCGAUAAUGUUAUAUUUUAUUCCUGACCCACAGCAUCCUCUGCUGUUCCAGUCUUGGGACUCUCCAGAACAGGAGGGCCAGGGGCGCAGAGGUUUUGGUAUGUAGGGUGCUUGUAACUUUGGGCGGGGAGAGGGGGAGGCGGGUAUGGCUUGUUCCUGUGCCUUCUGGAAGCAUGAACUCUGCGGCUGCAUCCCCAGUGCAAGGGUCACUUUAAGGCAGUGCUGGAGGAGGCAGCCAGCAGUGCCCCACCAGGAGGGAGCUGGGUGAUGCCCCAAUUCUCCCACACUUCAGCCCCCAUGUUGGUGUCAGCUUGGGACCCCACCCCACUGUGGGAGGGGAAGUUUCCAGAGAGGGGUGGCCUGUGGGGAGUGGGCCCAGUGGAGCGCGCUCCCUUGGGGCCAUGGUGGAGCUGAGACAGGGCAGUUCCCCUCUUUGGGCUCCCAGGGCUGGUAGGGGCAGUGCUGGGGGCAGGGCAGCUGGCUCCUGGUGAGAGGCCAAAGUGCCCGUGUCUGGGGGCUGAUGGGCGCUUCCUCUCCCUCCAUCUCUGAGCAGUGCAG